UGAGAACUUUUGCUAGGGCAGUGCAGA
rnacentral:piRNA from 1 species